AAAACUUCCCAAAUCGCUGAGUUUUUAAAAAAUGUAAGGUUGUAAAUCUAAAAUCAAUGUUGAAAAUCGCUUGAGUUCUUCAAGUUUCUACUGAUCUAAGAAAUGUAGUAGAGCGCACAUUUGGCGUUUGGAAAGCAAGAUGGUCUAUUUUGAGAGACAUGCCAUACUAUCACAUUGACACACAAAGGGACAUCGUACUUGCUACUAUGGCCAUUCACAAUUAUAUUAGAAAGAAAUGCAAUGUGGAUGAUGCAUUCCAACAGUGAGAAUGAGAGUUAUAUUCCAUCGGUUGAUUCUAAUGAUAUUGGCACAACUUCAAGAGCUAACAAUGUAGAUGUCGAAGAUGUAGGAGAACAAAAUGAUGUCUAUUGGAUGGGGUUUCGUGAUAUGAUUGCUAGUGACAUUUCUAAUGCUUGAUGCUUGUAUUAUAUGAAUAUUUUCCACUUCUUGUAUUUAUAGUGGAGUGCUUUCGGUUGUAUUA